rnacentral:rRNA from 1 species
UACGGGGGGGGUAAGCGUUGUUCGGAAUUACUGGGCGUAAAGCGCACGUAGGCGGACUAUUAAGUCAGGGGUGAAAUCCCGGGGCUCAACCCCGGAACUGCCUUUGAUACUGGUAGUCUUGAGUUCGAGAGAGGUGAGUGGAGUUCCGAGUGUAGAGGUGAAAUUCGUAGAUAUUCGGAGGAACACCAGUGGCGAAGGCGGCUCACUGGCUCGAUACUGACGCUGAGGUGCGAAAGCGUGGGGAGCAAACAGG